AGGACGAACGCUGGCGGCGUGCUUAACACAUGCAAGUCGAGCGGAAAGGCCCUUCGGGGUACUCGAGCGGCGAACGGGUGAGUAACACGUGAGCAACCUGCCCUUAGCUCUGGGAUAGCUCCGGGAAACCGGAAUUAAUACCGGAUAUUACACCGGCUGGCAUCGGCUGGUGUGGAAAGAUUUAUCGGCUAGGGAUGGGCUCGCGGCCUAUCAGCUUGUUGGUGGGGUAAUGGCCUACCAAGGCGACGACGGGUA
rnacentral:rRNA from 1 species